UCCCUUCCUGCAUCAGGCACUCAGCGAAUCUCAGCAACCGUGCGCUGGAGGCGCGCACCCGCGCGCACGCGCGCGAGGGAGGCCAAACAGAGGUGCUCUCCAGGGUUUGUGUUCCCGUCCUAAAAGGGGGUCUCCAGCCGCGCUGGGCAGCUGGGCUGCUCCGGGCCCUCCCCGACCCUGUACUCAAUCCCCCUCACCCUGGCCAGCGCCUCCUGCUGCUGGGAGCUCAGGUUCCCGACUCGGCCGCUCAUGGGAGCAAGUGUACAGGAUACGCGUCUGCAGUCCCGCGACGCCGGGCCUCGCCGCCACCUGGUUGUGUCGAGUCUGAUGUUGGUCCCGCCCCGUCGAUCCUCGCCAGCUCGUCGGAGGGCUGCGCUAGAGGGAUUUGAAAUUUUAAAAUAAAAAUGAAAUCUGCAAACAACUAAAAAGGAAAAGAAUGUGAUGCUUGCCACACCGCUGGAAGGGCACAGUCUGAACUGAAAACAAGAACCGAGAUCACAAAGGGAAAAGCAAUUGAUUGACUACUGUAUAUAAAAAUACAAAAAUCAGUGAAUCAAGAAACAAAAUUGAGGCAUUAUGUCAAUAUGUGCCGAUAUAAACUGGGAAAAAAGAAAAUGUACAAAAAUUGUUAUCUUUGUAAAAAACUCAUGUGCAUUGAUAAGAAAAGUAGCAGAAUGCUAAGAAAUAGAUGGACAAAGAUUCCAAGCACAGAUUCUCCCACGAUGAGUUCCACUGGGGAAAUAAGAAGAUAAAUGCUCAUCUUCCUGGGUCAUCAAAGAAAUGUGUAUUCAAGCAAUGAGAUACUUUAUUCCUUUGCCUAAUUGGCAAAACAAAACAAAAUAAAACAAACAGCACACACACACACAACCCUUUUAAAAAAAUAAAGUAAUAAAGUUAAUGAGAAGUCGUGGAAUGAAGACAUGCAUGUAUUGCUGGCAGGAGUGUAAUUUGGCCUCUAUAGAGCAGACACGAUAUGUCAAGAUGCUUAAAUAUUUUCCUACUUUGCCCAAUGAUAAUCCGAAUUAAGAGAAAGCAUUUUAUCCUUAACAUUUUUUUUGUGCAUUGUUAAUAGAAAACUUGGAAACAAAUUUUUAAGUCAACCUUGGUGCUUAAUGUGGUUCAUGGAGAGUUUAUAAUGACAUGCAAAAAAAUACCAUGCCAUGGAAAUGUAUGACACAAAGAGUGAGGAAAAAAAGGGAAAAAAUAAAAUUAAAAAAAAGAGAAAAACCACUAUGAAACAAUUUGGAAAAGGUCAGAUCACGUUAGGUAUGUCAUUCGCUUUGGAAAUAUAGAACAAAACCCACCUGAUAAAAGACAAAAGAAGAGCCAGCCAAGGAAAGUAAAUUUCCCCCCGCUUUUCCCAGUGGUUGUGUCUAAGGAAUGGGAAAAGUCGUAUUUUUAAAAUGCCACAGGUAACAAGUCAUCGCCAAAGAGAGGCUUCUGUUUAACCAGCACUUACAGUAACUUUCCAGGGGCCAGGCCCUGUUCUAAGAGUUUUAUAAAUAUUAGCUCAAUGGUGUCCAACAGAAAUAUAAUGCAAGCCUCCUGUGUACUGGAAAUUCUCUAGAAGCCACAUUCAAAAAAGUUUAAAAAAAAGAAUUUUAAUAAUAUGCUUUAUUUAGGACCCUAUAUCCCAUAUAUUAUCAUUUUGAUAUGUCAUCCAUAUAAACAUUAAUUAUGAGAUACUUUGAA